UAAACAAUCCGGAUAAGUCGGUC
rnacentral:siRNA from 1 species